GACAGAAUGUGGUAAGACGUGGUGCAUUUGCUUCUCCUGUGUCUCAAAUUCUCAAUUCUCAAACCCACUCUCACACAAUCGGAAGUUCAAUUCCAAAGAGAAUUCCAAUCAAGAGGGAUGACGCCACUUCAACUUGCAUUGCCGCCUUCACAGCUGCCCAGGCCCUACAGCUGUCCGCCGCUCCUCCGUCUCUCUUCUGCCACCUCCACUGGCCGCUGGUGGUCAGCUGUUGGCACUGCCACCUCCUUCGUUGUCCUUCUCAUCCAUCCAGCCAAGUCUCCACCUUCACACUCAUCUCUAUGAGGGGUGCUCUUUCAUUCGAGCUGCUUGGACCCGAAGAUCUCGAAGUGAAGCUGCAAAGAAACCUAACAGGAAAUCAUGGAAGCAGAGGACAGAUAUGUACAUGAGACCGUUCUUACUAAACAUUUUCUUUUCAAAAAGAUUUAUUCAUGCUAAGGUGAUGCACCGAGGAACAAGCAAAGUGAUCUCUGUCGCUACAACAAACGCUAAGGAUCUUCGAAACUCUCUCCCCUCCUUGACAGAUCACAAUGCUUGUAGAGUGGUUGGAAGGCUUAUUGCCGAGCGAUCAAAGGAGGCUGAUGUAUACGCAUUGGCUUAUGAACCAAAAAACAAUGAAAGGAUUGAAGAGGGGGGCACUAGCCAGCAAGCAGUAGUAGGAGUGAAAGUGGCAUCAUCAUGUAGAAGAUAAAUAAAAAGCGUCCUACUAGAUUCUCACUAUAUGUAUCAUUAUCACAAGGGACAAGACAAAAGCUAAGUUAUUAGCCGUUACACUGUUUCGGGAAGGAUUUUAAACUCUUGCAUUGGAGCAAAGCACUAGUAUAUAAAACUAAGCAAAGAACAUUGUUAGUGCACUGCAAACCACAAACACUUGAGAUUCCUUGUGCUUGAGAAAAUCCAGAGAUCUAAAUACAAUACAUCGAUCUACGUAUAACAACUUCCUUCAACCCCUUUCAUUGUUUUCUCAUCAUCUGGUACACUUGAUUUUGAAUCAUGGCUGCAAAACUUGAAGGUGGGGCUUAUCUUUCUUCUUUUGUUGAUGCUGUUUUGGAGAAGCUGUCUGCAAUACUUGAAGAUGAUGACUUUGUCCUCGAAGGAAACGACUCUGCCCUGGAGUUACUUCAAAAGAUAGAGAAAAGUCUAUAUGAUGUUGGACCUGUGCUUGAUGAUGCUGAGCUGAAGCAGUUUAGUGACAAGAAAGUGAAGAAGUGGCUCAUUGAUCUUCAAGAUGCUUUGUAUAAGGCUGAUGACUUGCUGGAUGAACUCUCCACUAAAGCCGCCACUGCCACUCAAAGAGAUCCAGGUAACUCUUCUCCCUGGUCUCACUAUGUUGAUUCAUGUAUUGAAGAUAGUGGCAUCAAUGUCAUCGGAAAAACAGUCGCCACACUAGAGUCUGUUAAAAGACGAAAAGGUUAUCUUCGUCUUUUUCCGAAGGAGAGUGCCAAGAUGGACAUCUCGUCAUGGAGAAUUCCAUCCACAUCUCUCGUUGUAAGUUCUGACAUAUUUGGUCGGGACCAAGACAAGGAGAGGAUAAUCAAAUUGCUGUUAGAUGAUACCUGCGAUGCUGAAUCACCUGUGACUGUGAUCCCCAUUGUGGGUAUGGGUGGGAUAGGAAAAACUACUUUGGCCCAACUGGUUUACAAUGAUGCCAAAGUUGUGGAAAAAUUUGGCACUAGAGCAUGGGUGUGUGUUGCUGAAAAUCCUGACCCUGUUAAUGUUACAAGGACAAUAAUAGGGGCAAUGGAUUCUUCCUCUUGUAACGUGGAUCAUUUUGAUUCACUUCAAACUGCUUUGAAAGAAAAGCUGACAGGAAAGACAUUUUUAGUUGUUUUAGACGAUGUCUGGCAUGAUCGACGAGAUAUGUGGGAGGAUUUUCUAAAACCUUUUCACUAUGGGAAUACUGGAAGUAAGAUUCUCCUAACAACCCGUAGUGAAAAGGUUGCUUCUGUGUUUGCAGCUAACAAUCUGCAUUAUCGACUUAGUUUAUUGUCGGACGAAGAUUGUUGGUCGGUGUUUUUGAAGCAUUCAUCUAUUUCUACUAAUUCCAGUCAGUAUGCAACUCUAGAACCAAUUGGUAGAAAAAUUGUUGAAAAGUGUAAGGGAUUACCUUUGGCUGUAAAGACUCUUGGAGGUUUAUUGCGAAAUAAGCAUAUUGAAGGGGAUUGGAAGAAUAUACUUAAAAGUGAAAUUUGGGAACUCUCAGAAGAUGACAGUAAAAUUGUUCCCGCAUUAAGAGUUAGUUAUCAUUACCUUCCUUCACAUUUAAAGCGGUGUUUUGUUUAUUGCUCAAUAUUUCCCGAGGAUUAUGAAUUUGACAAAGACGAAUUAAUUUUAUUAUGGAUGGCUGAAGACCUUUUACAACCAAAGGAAAACAACGCAUUAGAAAAUGUUGGUUGUGCAUAUUUUGAUGAAUUAGUUGCAAGGUCAUUUUUUCAACCUUCCAAUACUAAUGAAAAGUUAUUUGUAAUGCAUGAUCUUAUGCAUGAUCUAGCAACGUUUUUUGCUGGAAAAUUCUAUUUCAAAGUCAAAGAAUUCGGCCAUCAACACAUGAUAGACAACAAAACUCGUCAUUUGUCAUAUGCUGCUACAGAAGAUGAGGAUAGCAUCAAAUUAUUUCAAGAGGCCAAUAAUAGAGCAGUACACAUGAGAACGUUUUUAUAUUUUUCUUUUCUUCACCAUCCUAAAUCAAUUGAUAUUGAAAGCGAUCCUUGCCUCUUACGCCAACAAUUGGGGUGUUUAAGAGUUUUAUCAUUUGAACGGCUUUUGCUAGCUUCAUUGCUAGAUUCAAUAGGUGAAUUAAUCCAUUUGCGUUAUUUGAAUCUGUCUGACACACCUAUUGUGACAUUGCCCGAGUCAAUAUGUAAAUUAUACAAUCUCCAAACUUUGAAGUUGAAGAAUUGUGCUCAGUUAGAGAUGCUUCCCAGCAGCAUGCAAGAUCUUGUGAACCUGCGCCACCUUGACAUUCGAGGUGCUUCUCAUCUGAAAGCGAUGCCGAAGGAAAUAAGCAAGCUAAAGCAUAUAAACUUCUUAAGUGAUUAUAUCGUCGGCGAGCAUGAAGGAAAUGGGAUAAGAGAACUGGGAACGCUGGACAAUCUCCAUGGCUCAUUUUGCAUUUCCAAGUUGGAGAAUGUCAAGAAUAGUGGUGAAGUUUUGGAGGCGAAGAUGGGUAAAAAGAAGCACAUCAACACUUUAGAAUUGAAUUGGCUUCCAGAUGGUGACAUUGAUGAUCUUCAAACUGAAAGAGAUAUACUUGACAAGUUACAACCUCAUGAAAACUUGAAAGAGUUAUCAAUUGUGGGUUAUCGGGGUGAAAGAUUCCCAGAUUGGUUAGGCCUUUCUUGCUACUCCAAUAUGACCAAGUUGAGUCUGGAUCGUUGUAUGAAUUGUUGUAAGCUUCCUUCAUUGGGACAGUUACCCUCUUUACAGCAUCUGGAGUUUUCUGAACUUGAUGGGUUGGAGAAAAUUGAUUUGGCGUUUUACAACAAUAGUGGAUCAUUUGAGCAGGAGACACCUUUCAAAUGUCUUGAAACUCUGAAAAUUGUAAAUAUGUCUGCUUGGCGGGAAUGGCAUUUUCCUCAAGAGUUUAAUGGUUUUCCUAAGCUUAGAGUCCUUUCACUAAAAAGCUGUCCGGUGUUAAGCGGAGAUCUUCCUGCUCACCUUCCGGCUCUGGAGGAACUUAACAUUGUUGAAUGUGAAGAGCUUGCAUGUCCGCUGCCAAGGGCUCCCAAGCUUCACCAAUUACUUGUAGAGGGUUCUUCUAUGUCUUUCGGGGGAGUGGAACCGCACAACAUAGAAAUUUCAGGAACCCAGCUGGCAAAUUCCGUAUUGGAGUGCCUGCCCCACAUCCAACCGCCACGUGUCCGAUGUCUGCGUAUCAGUAACUGUGAGUCAGCGAUAUCAAUUUCAGCAGAUUAUUUGCCCGCUUCAUUACUAUUUCUGCAAAUCUAUCAUUGUUCAAAAUUAACAUUCCCAGAGCAAGUGCAACACAAGUCGCUAACGGAGAUAGAGGUAGUGGGGUGUGGUUCACUGACAUUGUUUCCAAUGGGGGGCUUUCCAAAUCUCGAGAAGCUCAAAUUCUAUAUCUGCGAAAGCAUGGAAUAUGUUGUGGUGUCAGAGGCUCUUCAAAGUCUCCGUUAUUUUGAGCUCUCACAUUGCCCCAGUUUAGUAUCCUUGCCGACGCUAGGGAUGGCUGUGCCCCACCUAGAGGAGCUGCAUCUAUACGAUUGCCCAGAAAUCGAUUGUUUUGCUGACGAGGGCCUCCCGCCGAGUUUGAAAAAACUUCAACUCACUGAGUGCCACAAACUCGCGAGUUGGAUAGCAUCAAAGGGUUUGCAGAGUGAAGGCCUUACCCAUCUUGAGCUUUGUCGAUGCAGUGAUGUAAAGUCGUUCCCAGGAGAGGGUUGCCUUCCUGCUUCUCUUGAGUUUCUAGAAUUGUGGAAGUUACCAAAUCUGGAGACGCUUGACUGCAAGGGGCUUCACCAUCUUACCUCUCUCAAAAAUUUAAGAAUCAGAUACUGUGACUACCUUAAUAAUAUAAGAGAAGAACAUUUGCUUGCAUCCAUAGAAAAUAUCUUCAUUGGGAAUGAAUGUCCUUUGACGCGUAAGCUGAAAGAGAUGGAAGACCUACGGAUUGAAUUUGCCCGUUACUACAUGGACUCGGAUUACUCUGAUGAUGAUUACUGGUACGAUUGAUUCUGAUUUUACACCAUUUUAUGUGAAUGAGAGGGGUCAAAGGCAUACGGGAAGAUCGAAGUCUGAGGAAAGGUGAGAAUUGGGGUGCACUGAAGUUUAUAAAUGGAGCAACUUGCUAUACCAAUGAAUCUCUAGAACCACCGAUUAUGUCAACUAAAUUUGCUUCUGCUGCAAAGAAAGCAAAUAAUCAAGGUAUUGGGCUUGCCAGAGACCAUGAAAGCAGUAUGAUUUCUUUCUUGAAACAUUGAAUCUAUAAUUGGGACUGCUAGCCUGUGUGACUUGAAAAACCGGUAGCAAUUCAAUGCUUGGUUGCACCCUAGGUAAAAUGUAUUAGACUAGAACAUCGCCUACUUCUUUAUUAGACUAGGUAAAAUGUAUUAAUCUGUGGCUUUUCAUCAAUAAUAAAUCCUCUGCCAAGAUAACACAGACAAUUGAAGGAAAACUUUUUGAAUCCUCAAGAAGGAAGAGCUUUUCUUCUUUCACAUCAAUCUUGAAACCAUUCAAGUGAUUUUGGGAUAUGUAAAAAAACGGUAAGGGGUCUGCAUGAAUAAAAGGCGAAGAUGAGGAGGAAAGAAUCUCUCUACUUGAAGGACCCAAACCUUGGCAAAAAAUUUCCCAUGUAUGGGGCAUUGAUGAGGUAUUGCACUAGCUGAGGCUGUACAUGGUUCAGCACCUGAUAUUGCUGAAAAAAAUUUUGGCAAAUCCAACUGCUUUACUGCUGAGUGGUGUUUCAAUGUUGCGCCAUUUGAAUCUCAACACAAUUGCAGAUGGGAAGUACGGAACUGCUGAUCUUGGAAGCAAAGCAAAGACAAUCACCAAUGCAAUUAUUGAUUCACUGAUCAAUGCAGUGUUAUGGCCUUGAGAGGGUUGGAGUCUCUUACGCUUCUAAAAUGCACUUUGAGUCUUUGAUUGAUAACCCUCUUUAGUCCAUUUUGCUAUUCUUUGUCAAUAAUAUAGUUAAAUAAAUGAAGUACCAUACACAUGUUUCAUUCAUUCUUCUUUCAUGACUCUGCCUGCUAUUUGCUUAAUUUAAAUUCAAUAACUUACUGGAAAUCGCCACUCGUUUGUGUUCCUCAGGGUUUGUUUUGUUGGAGUAAUUCACACCAAUACAAUCACGCCAAUGUUGGGAAUUAUCCCAAAAUAAUGUAUAUUUUUCCUUUUAACUCCAAAACCAUAUGUUUGAGUAUAUACUUGAUCCAAAUCAUGGUAAUACCAAAAUGGGAAAACAAACGUUCAA